rnacentral:lncRNA from 1 species
UAUCAGGUUAUGGCAGAACACAUAGAUGAUGUGGCUAUUAAUUUAAUCUUGAACAAUUCAAGCAUUCUGUUGUGCACAAUGCAAUAUGUUAAUUAAAACAGGUAACAGCAAAACUCCUUGCUAUUACUUCAAUCUGUUUUCUAUCACUAUAUGUUUUAAUAUGUAUGUUCCUCCAAAAUCAAUAUGUAAAACUGGAACCCUAAAGUUAUACUAGUAUUGAAAGGUAGAGUCUUUGAGGGAGUGAUAAAGUCGUGAGAGUCCUGGCCCUAUAAAAAAAGGCUUCAGAGAGCUGCCUUCUAGUCCUCCAGCCCUUCUACCACAGGAAGAGGCAGGGUUCUCCGUCUAGGACCCAGCAACAAGGACCCAUCCAUCUUGAAGCAGAGAAUGAGUCCUUACCAGACAUUGGAGUCUGCUGAUGGCCUCAUGGUAGACUUCUCAGCCACCAGAACUAUAAGAAACAAAGUUUUAUUAUUUACAAAUCAUCAAAUUUGUGUUGUUGCAUUAUAGCAGCACGAAUGGAACAAGAUACUAUAUAGAUAAGAAAAUGAAUAGUUUUAAAUUUUUGUAAUUUAAAGAAUAUUUAUGUAACUCAAUACCUUUCAUUUGCAUUUUACAUAACUAUACCCAUUACAGAUACAUGUCCAAACUGAAUUAGUAAAUUUUGAUGUUUAUUUGCUGCACCUCUUGUCUGCCCCCAAGAUGGGAAGUGUAUGGCAUGUCUAGAGGCUCCCAGAAGAGAGGGAGAUCAAGCCAGCACUUGGUGGGCAGGAAGGAUUUGAAUAGUGAAGAAAAGCUAUUCCAGAUCUUGGAAAUCUGUAAAGUACAUAAAGAAGGAAGUUGCCUGGGUUGCCAAGUGUUGUUUUACCACACAAGGAAGUGGAAAAUGAGGCCAGAAAGAUAGGUUGAGGCUAGAUUAAAGGAAUUUUUAGUCCUAGUAUGAGGAAUUCACCUUUUUGCAUGAAAUUAUUUUAAAAGGUAGACAUAUAUUAUAGGAGAAAAAUGACCCAUCAAGAAAAAUGCUAUUGCAAUGGGGUAGGUAGUAGAGGCCUGAAUUAGGAUAGUGGCUAUGAGAAUAAAAUAAUGUACUCCAAAAUAGGAAAUGAAAGGAUUUGGUGACUACUCCCUGUGCAUUGCUCCCACAUCCUCCUCACUUCAGGCAGUCUAAACCGCAAUUUUUAUUCUAGAUAAUUGAAAGAAUAAUUAUAACAACAGCAAUAAAAAUAAAAGUAACCAACAUUCCUGUGGUGCUUAUUAUGUACCCAGCCCUUGUUUAAGUGUUUAAUCAUCUCAAAAACCUGGUGAAAUAAAUAGUGUCAUUCCCAUUUCAUUGAUGUGAAGUCUGAAGCAGAAGAGAUUAGAUGAUGGGCUCAAGGUCAUACAGAUAAUGAAUAGCAUACCUAGGACAGGAACCCAAACAGUUGGGCCCAGAGUCUGAAGGAAUGCUUCUCCCCAUGGUCUCAUUCACCAAGCGCUAGCUUGUGGCAGAUAGCCCUCGAGUUUCUAUCUAUUGAAGCUGAAGUGGAACGUCUGAGUGGGAAUAUGUAGCGGGUAAUCAAGACUGAGAUCUGAAAUUCAGAGAAUAGUCAAGAUUGAAGACAGGGAAUUGAGUACCGUGUACACCUUACUUAAUUGACUUGGGUAUUGAAGCCAUUCCAUUACCGAAUCUGAGAUCAGGGUCUAACCCAGGAGAGGAGGCGUGGUGCUGAGAGGUGAUCAAAACAAGAUUUUCAGACUGCUGGAAAAAAAUGCCUGCAGACUUGGUCACCAAACCUCUUGGUAGUUACAUCCUGCUUAUCUUUUCUUUCUCAUGUAUUCUAAUGAAUUGUAACAUAGUAUAUUGAUUUCCAUAUAAUUCCAGGAAAUGUGGUGGCUUAUAGUAUUUUCACGUUUGUUUUUAAGUUCUAACUUCUACCAGUUAUUUUAGGACCCUGAAAUACUCAAUAUGGCAAUAUACCAUGAAAUAUGAUGAGCUCAGACAUCAAGAACUCAAAGAGUUCAUGAUAGGAUCAUCGUUAAGAGAAACCACUUUGGAAAAAUGACUGGGUUUGGAUCUCAGCCCGGCCACUUACAAGUUUUCUGACAUUGAGCUUGUUAUUUUGUCUCUAAUAACACCCAUCUCAUGGGAAGGUUUAAAAAGGAUGACAUAUAUGUGUCGUUUCUUACUAUUCCUAUGAAAGAAGUCAGUAAAUUGUAGCUGUUACUAUUAUCUGAUCUCUAUAUGUAUACAAAUUGUAUGGACCUCUGAACAGAUAAAAAUUACCCAAGAUGCAUUUCCCUUCACUUUUUGAAGACACACUUCUUCAAGAGAUGUGUUUGCCAGAACACUUUAGUAUGUAAUCUAACCAGGACUUUGGAGAAGGAAAAGAUAAUGCCAUCACAAACAAUCCAUCACAUCCAAGACAAAUACAAGAUGGGCUCCCACUAACUGUUCUUGCAUAGGUCUUCAUAAAUUCUCCCAUGGACCGUCUACAACAGCCUUCCGGCUGCUCUCCACCUACAGCGUUAUCCUCCCUCCCAACGCCAUUUCUCUACCAGCAUUCUCCAAACUUUGAAAACUGCACAUCUCUUUAAUUGAAGGAGGAACUAAGCAUGAGUGGUGUUGCAUAAGAGGAGUUCAAAGAUGUCUGCAAGGGAAGGCAGCAAAGGAUUCACCAUGAGACAGUGCUGCUAAAUGAUAUGAUUAAAGUCAUAUAGGAAAAUGACAAAUCAUUCAUCAAGAACCACAACCCGAAGUUACAGGGGUGAUAAAAUGGAGCUGAAAGCCAAAUAAUCCAGUCCCGGUCAUGCAGUUAACUACUCAAAUCCAGUCAUCUCGAGUGUGGUGUGUUCACACACCCUGCUUUCUCUUCUCCGCUGCUCUAUCUACCCGACUUGGUCAGCAGUCUCAUGCAUUACUAACUCUGUCUGGAGACAGCAGCCCAGGUGAAGUAUGCCUUCUAGAAAAGUGAGAAAUUACAGUGCCAAAGACACAGCCCUCUGAGGUGACUUAGAAUCAACUGGGCCGAGAUUCUGCACUUCUAGCAAGCUGCCUUGUGAUCCUAUCAUAUUGCUGCUGGUCCAUGGAUCCAAGCAGAGGAAGCUUAAGAAGACUGUUGUGGACAACAGUAGAUAAGAACUCAUCUUACUUUUCAAAUAAGGCCCUUUUUCUCACAGGUUCUGCGGAAGAAGAAACAAUCAGAGAGAUAACUCUGUGAGUUUUCACAAUAAAUGCAAUCAGCAGCACAAUAAAUUAUACAUUUUCAUCAUCCCUAGUAUACCUCCAUGUCCUUUGUGGCCAACCAGUGAGACCCCUUGAUCUGUUUUCUGCAGAAUGUCAUAUAAAAGAAAUCACAGCAUUUCAAUGCAGUCUUUUGAUAAUGGUUUCUUUCAUUAACUACAGCAUUAAAGCUUUAUUCUUGGUUUAUGUAUUAUUAUCACUUCCUUUUUUCACUGAGUUGUAUUUGCUUAUAUUGAUAUAUCACAUCUUGCUUAUCUAUUCCAUAAUUGAGAGAUUUUUUUUAUUUUGGUUAAUCUAAAAAUGGUAAAAAUGCAUGUAUAAAUUUUUGUGUGAAUGUAGGCUGUAUUUCACUUGACUAACAAGUGAAAUAAAAAUAACAAACAAUGAGAUUGCUGGGUUGUACGUCAAAUGUAUGUUUAUAAGAAACUAUCAAAGUGUUUUCCAUAGUUCUUUUCUUACAGUCUCACCAGAGUUCCAGGUUUAUUUUUGUAGUUUACUCACUCUCUCAAUGUCAUAAAUUAAUUUGCC